AAGCAAGAAACUAAACGUAUUAUGGUUUCGACCCAUACACUAGGUGUAUUUUACACCCUUGCUCU
rnacentral:tRNA from 1 species